AACGCACAUUGCACCCCCUGGUAUUCCGGGGGGUAUGCCUGUCCGAGCGUCAUUGCUGCCCUCAAGCACGGCUUGUGUGUUGGGCCGUCGUCCCCCCCCGGGGGACGGGCCCGAAAGGCAGCGGCGGCACCGCGUCCGGUCCUCGAGCGUAUGGGGCUUUGUCACCCGCUCUUGUAGGCCCGGCCGGCGCUGGCCGACGCUGAAAAGCAACCAACUAUUUCUCCAGGUUGACCUCGGAUCAGGUAGGGAUACCCGCUGAACUUAA
rnacentral:misc_RNA from 1 species